CCUAGUAACGGCGAGUGAAGCGGGAUGAGCUCAAAUUUAAAAUCUGGCUGGUUUACUAGUCCGAAUUGUAGUUUAUAGAAGCGUUUUCGGUGGCAGCCUGGGUAUAAGCCCUUUGGAAUAGGGUAUCAUAGAGGGUGAGAAUCCCGUCUUUGACUCAGUGCAUGCUACUAUGUGAUACGUUUUCAAAGAGUCGAGUUGUUUGGGAAUGCAGCUCAAAAUGGGUGGUAAAUUUCAUCUAAAGCUAAAUAUUGGCGAGAGACCGAUAGCGAACAAGUACCGUGAGGGAAAGAUGAAAAGAACUUUGAAAAGAGAGUUAAACAGUGCGUGAAAUUGUUGAAAGGGAAACGCUCGACACCAGUUAUGCGGGUGGAAAAUCAGUCUUUUGCAAUGGGGAGUUGUGGGCGUUCAGACCGCAAGGCUGGCGUUUGCUUCAUCUUUGUUGUAAGUGAUGCACUUUUUCAUUUGCAGGUCAACAUCAGUUUGCUUUGCUGGACAAAACUCUUGAGAAGGUAGCAGCUUUGGCUGUGUUAUAGCUCUUGAGCGAUACAGUGGAGGGGACUGAGGUUUUCGCAGCGCGUGCUUUCGGGCAAGGCUGAUUGGGUGCUAUGGGAUCGUUCGGUGUACAAUGCUUGCAUUUUGCGCCGUGUCUUUUCUGUACUCGCUCGACUCGGCUCUUCCGCGCUUAGGA
rnacentral:rRNA from 1 species